UAAUACGACGCGAUGUGGCGAUCAACGUAUAUACAGUCAGUUGCGUGUUGUAUUUUAGUCUUAUAGUAUUGUGAAUAGUGAGAGGUUAUAAUCACAAGAGAAUCAUUUAUUAAAGGCAUAGUGACUAAAAGUAUGACAACAGUAACGCGAAUUAUAUUGAAAUUGAGUGCUGCAACUGGCGUAGGUUUUGCUGGUUGGUGUUUAGGGAAAUUUUCAGAACAGAAACGACAUUUGAAUGCAGAUAUAAAAAACAAUGGAAGUCAUAUUGUUUCGAAUGUAAACAUCAAAGAAAUGCCUGGUUUACCUUUAUUUGGAACUGUUUCUGCAGCAGUUCCUAUGGAAGUUGAUACAAAUAUGGGUUCAAAAUUGUCAUCGACAGCUACAAGAGUAUCAGAAAUUAUGAAGUAUGGUUUCCCUGGAUUGGAUCAUGUUAGAUCUUACGAAGAUUUUGUCCUUUCUUAUGAUAGAAGAAAUAGGGUAGCUCAUUGGGUCUUUGAACAUUUAAAUAAAGAUAGAUUACAACCCAAUGAGGAGAUAUCACGUAGUAAGUGUGAAUUCAAACCUGACCUAAGUAUACAUCCUUUUUUUAGAUCAGAAAAUCAUGAUUACAAAGGCAGUGGAUACGAUCGUGGACAUUUAGCAGCAGCUGGGAAUCACAAGUGUGCUCAAAGUCACAUAGAUCAGACAUUUUUCCUAACGAACAUGGCACCGCAAGUAGGUGUGGGUUUCAACAGGGAUUCUUGGAAUAGAUUGGAAAAAUAUGUUAGGCACUUAACUAAAGUUUAUAAGGAUGUAUAUGUCUGUACUGGUCCUUUAUAUUUGCCAAAAAUAGAGGCUAAUGGGAAAAAAUAUGUUCGAUAUGAAGUUAUUGGCACAAAUCAUGUAGCAGUACCUACUCAUUUUUAUAAAAUAGUUGUUGGCGAAACACAUGAUUCUAAAUUAGAAAUGGAAGCAUUUGUAAUGCCAAAUACUCCUAUAGAUGACAAUGUACCUUUAACAAAUUUCCAGGUACCACCAGAAAGUAUAGAACGGGCUGCUGGACUUUUAUUUUUUGAUAAGAUCUCACGUGAUAAAUUAAGUAAAAUAAAUGGAAAAAAUGUUCGAUAACUACGACAUGAAGGACAGGGGCCAAAGAUAGCUCCGUUAUUGAUGGAAUCGUUAAAAAGUAUACCAGGACCUUGGAGGAUACAUCCUCUGAACGCUUCUCCCACGAUAAGGGAGCCAUUCAUAUCGUAAUCGGGCAGCGUAAGGAUCGCAGCAUUGUACGUUGCAUUGGCAAUUACCUAAACAGAAUCAGUCAAAAAAUCAACGUUGUAACGAGAAAUAGAAAUAUAGCUUUAGAGUCUCAGAUCCGCCAAAGAGGUAAAAAUUACUUUUUUAAUUGCUCUUUUUAAAAAAGAAAAAAGAAAACGUAAGUAGAAUGAUCUCGACAGCAGAAGGGGAGAGUAAAAAACAUUUUUUAAGAUCACGUUUUUCAUUUCAUAAAGUUUCAUAAAUAUCGAUGUACGACUUCAAAGGGAAACAUUAUAAUUUAAGUUUUUAAUAUACCAUAACAAUUUAAUUUUUUAAUUUAAUCGAUCGUCAAAUUGUUGGAUUUAUUAAACAGAUACAAUUCGUCACUAGAUAUGGAAAAUUUAUUACAACGAGGAGAGUCUUUUAUAUUGAAAAAAGUGUUGAUCACCUGUGUGUGUCCUGCUGCGUUUAAAGUGAGAUUUCCGAGCCUAAAGAAGAUAUUGACGUUGUGCCAAACAUUAUUCAGUAAUCUGGCGUUUAGUCUCGCUUUGUAUCGUUGUUGAUCGAUGAUGGCCGCGAACAGAAGUCCAUCCGGGGUCACUUCCAGACUAAUCGAAUCCUCGUUGUAUUUCUGCAUGAAAAGUCGACCUCCUUCGCAUGUUCGAAAACUCAAGCCGCUAUGCCUAUGCACGGACACGAACGAGCUCAAUUUGAGGAACGCCGACCCAUUGAAAUAGGCUUCCCUGGGACGUUCAUCGUAGUUUUUGUGUCUGGAAUCUUGCGGCGCUUCGUCGGUGACUACUAAUAAGCUCUAUGUCGGAUAUCGUAGAUAUUCGAACAGUUACAGAUAUUUACCGAAAGUAGGAAAUGAAGGACAGUGCGACCGAUUAUGUGAGUGUUCCAAUUUCUGUUAUCGCUAUUAACUAUGUAGGUUGAAAUUUCGGUAAGAUAAUGUACGCUUGUAUUGGAUUCUAAUCGACAUGUGUACACGAAAGAUUUGAUUUCUCUGCUCACUGAAACGUUCAAUUUAGGUUACUGAAUUGCAUCCUCUUCGAUAAACUAAUCGAAUGGUUGUUCGAAUUCGUAGUUUUAUUCGAUAUUGAACGAAUUCCAUAUAUUUAGUUAGACUUUUUUCUUUAUCCGAGUUCUGCUUUAUUUACGACAUUUCUUUUUAUAUUUCUGUAGCUUGCGUGGCCUCGUGCUAUAGAAUAUUUAUUAAGAGAGUAAGUUUUCCAAUUUAAGCUUUAUCAUUAGGUAUUUUAAAAAUACAAACAUCCGUAACUUUCCAAGCAAGGCGGUUGAUGAAGUCCACUGCACCCACAGGAGGAUCGAUGGUAACCAAUAAAUAAUGCAUGAGAUGCAUCUGCACGCCCUCGUAAGGUUGUAUAGUUAGGAGAGACUCGUUUAAGGUGGACAUUACGGUUAUACACCGGCGAAAAUUCGUCGAAAUCACGAACCUUGAUUAAUUACAACUACAACGUAUUGAUUAUUUACGCGGAAUGUUUAUCACGUGAAAAAUAAAUUUCAGAACAGAUAAAAUAGAUAUUUUCCAUAUAUAUAUAUAUAUUGCCAUAUUAUAUUUAUAUAUAUAACCAUCAUUUAUUUAUAUAUGUAGAUAAAUUAUGUUUAGAUAAACUAAUCCACGUAAAUCGAAUUAAUCGCACUUUUGGAAUUAAAGUGCGCAUGCUACACGCCAGAUUGCCAUGGGAAAACAGAGUUUAAGAUAACAUUAUAAUUCGAUAGAGUUAACGUCGCGUAUCUGGCCUUGUCUGCCUACACUUUGAAAUAAUUCAAUACAUCCAUCCUUCGAAUGUAUCGAGUACAUGGAAAAAGAUUAAAUGUUACUCGAAUGACUAAUAAUGGGAAAAAGACAAAAGUCGUGUGUCUGUGUAUGUGUUGGAGUACGAUUAAAUUGUGAGAGAGUUUGUUGGAAAGGAAAAAAUGACAUACACCUGGUAUGAACCUAUGUACGUGCACGAUCGUAAAAAGAAAUCAUAAACGAUUUAUAAAGAAUACGAUGGUAACAGUUCUUACUUCUUACAUUGUCAAUAAAUAGAAAAAUUCCGAAGCAUUUCCUUUUAUAUUUAACGGUACAACUAAAAAGUUAUUUUACGUAUGCAUAUAACGAAACUGAUCAAUCGUAAGUUUUAUGACAACCGAUAAUAGUAUGGAAAUUGCACGAAGCGAGAUCGGCUGCAAUACAUACAUAUAUACGUAUAUGUUAACCGAUAAAAGUACUUCGCUGUAUGCUGUCUCCUCUGUAUUUUCAUAAGACCUUGAAUAACACGUCUCUGAUGAACUAUUCUUUCUUACGAUCGUUCCCUAAUUUACAUAUUCUGAUGUUGACAUAAUAAACAGAAGCGUUGUAUCUCGUACAGAAUUGCCGCGUUAUCAUGAUAUUUCAGUGGACGUCGUUAAUGAAUUGCAGAACAGGUUGAUCAAAAUAUCUAUGUCUAUAUAUAGCGUCGUUACGAAGAUAACUUUAGGAUAAAAAACGAACAUUUACGUAAGCACGGACAAAAAAAAAAAAAAAAAAGAAGAAAUAUCAAAGUGGCGGUUAAAUCAUCGUAAUCGUAACAAAAUUAUUCAUGCUUGAAUCUAAGGAAGCAGCAGUAUGGUAUCUUUAAUUAAGAUUCAUAUCGUGCUGGCUCCUAGAGUUUUUCCACGAUUCCUCUCGCAUGAGCGCACGCGACGCGUUCGAGAAUGAAUACAUGGCAGGAACUCACGAGUUUGCGUGAUUGGCAUAUAAAAUACGCACAGAAAAGACAGUUGUACUUUACGUAUGUUGUCUUAGACACAAUGGGGAACACACCGUGAUGUGAACAAUUGCAACGAUGUAGACUUGAGAACAUUGAGAAAAAUCAUGGAAAGUAUAGUUAAUUCUAUAAUAUGUUCGAGCGCUACUAUAUUACAGGAAUAUUCCUAAUUUCUUAUAUAUCUUAGUUGCAAUUGGCAAUUAUUGUUGCAGAUAGAGAUAAUUAGCAAUUAUAUCAAUGGGUACUUUUGUGCGAUAAAAAUGAAUUCGAUAAAAGUUGCCUACGACUAUAGCAUUAGAAAUGCUACUUUACUCAAUUUCUAAAAAAAAAAAAAAAAAAAGGUUGGAAAAAGGAAGAAAAAGUUGCAAAACGAGAUCUAAUUACUUGAUAUCUUGAAGUGGAUGUUACUCCGAUUAUACCGUAUAAGUAGAAACGGUUUAUGGAAACUACUGAUCGUGAGACAACGCAGAAAACAACCGGAAGUAACUUCCUUUUCUUUAGAACGACGAGACGCAACGACAAAUAUGGUGACGUGCCUCUGGUUUUGCAGGUCUCAGCUCAACGAUGAAUCGAUAGAAAGACGUUCUGUUUCGUGACUAUGCAGGCGUUGAAGUCUCUUCUCCGCGCAGAUCAACGGAGGAAGAUUUCUCAGAAAUUCGUCGGCUAUUUGUCACACUUCUGAAGUUUAAUGAUUCAGAAUAGAAUAUCGCUAGAGAGUAGCGAUUGAAAUAAAAAGAAGGAACUAUAAUAUAAGCAAAAAUGUAACCAAAUGUAACCUACAAUCUCAAAAUAUCGAAUCGACUAAUUUUUGAUGCAAAUAGAAUUAGAAAUUAAGUGUGUCUAACUAUUCGACCGCUAUACAUAAAAAUGACGCGCUAUCGUUAAUGUUACAUUAUAAAUCCUAUAGCUUUUUUAUUACUUCGAUUGAAUAAUAUUUGGAUCAACCGUAAUUGACUAACUAUAUCUACCGUUUUAAAAUACCUAUUAGUUGUUCAAGCAACAACAAAUCAUUAAGAUUACGAAGAAAAUGAUUUAUCUACUUUAUAUAUUAGAAAGGAGUUUACUGUUAGAAAGCAUAACGGAUCAGACAGGCUACGUAAAAUUUCACGAUUCGUUUGGCAUCUCGAUGAUUGGAAGAAUUCCUUCUUAUUAACAGCAAGCAUGUUUUGUUACAACGAGUUGCAACAAUUUGUGAAAUACAUUCUGUGCGUCAUAAAAUAUUUGAUUUCUUUUGUCAAAGCAACGAUCGACAAACGUGAAAAUCCAUUAAAGAUUAUACAAUGUCCAACUAAUUAAACCGACUAAUGCAUUCCUAUUAUACGAUCAUACCAAUAGAAUUUCUUAACACGGUGAAUAUCUUUGUUGGUAUGUAUUCACAUAUGAGUACAAUAUUAUGUGACUCAACGGCUUAGCGAGUCUUGCCACGCCUUCGUUGGUCACGAGUAACUUUCUUUGUUGCUUUGUAGGAAGCUACUUAUCCGAGAUACUGUAUACUAAUACUCGUAAAGUAAUAGAUGCAACGAUAGUAAAUAUGUAGUACAAGAAGAGUGGGUUAAGCAACAGACAAGUGCAAAAUAAAAUAUACACGAUGUAACGCGUACCGAUAGAUUAUCUCUUUUUAUUACAGUAAAUACGUCGAACACGAGUUCAAUUAUUUAAAAUAAAUAUUUAUGACGAAAGAUGUAAAUUCAAUGACGCAUAGAGAUGCAAUUAUUCGAAGCAACAGUAUCUUAGAAGCUACGACUACUCUCGUACAAUUCUAAAUACUUUUUUUCGAUUAAUUUUAAAAUAAGUACGACUUAAUAACGCAGAAGUUACUUUAGUAUGCCAUUAAUGUAUUUACGCGUUAAUCACGAAUUGUUUCAUAACGUGAUAUUAUGGUUGAAUAAUGUGAUUGAUAAUUUUAUUAAGAAGCAGGUACGAGCUGUGAUGAAUUUCAACAAACAGAAUUUAUCACGGCGUGCACUCGGUACGUAUAGUGGUCGCGUGAGUUGUUUUACUAACAAACCCGUAUCUUAGCCACUCUUUUUGUUCGACGAUCUUCUUGUACUUCGUAAUUUGCCAAUCAUGCAUGAACGUGUAAUAUUUAAUAUUGGUUUAAUCCCUGUAAAAUCACGCACGAUAUGAAUAAUAGCAAUUUGUUGUUGUAGAAAAUAGUAAAUAUUUGUUUGAAUCGUAAUCGAAAUAUCAAUAAUUUCUAUACGUAAGUAACGAAUAGUGGAAAAAAUGUAUUGUACGCACGAUUCGUACUCAUCUAUCGUAAAACGAAUGCUGAUAGAGGAGAACAUUAUGUGUCGUUAACGUCAAAAAACAGGUUAUGGUUUCGAUGACUCACUGUCUCGGCUUUGUAAUAUGUAGAUACAAAGAACUCUUCGUCCCGAUCUCCACUGGUUAUACUUUCAACGUAAUCGUUGAAUUCCUAUACGUCGUUGGGUCGAAAGACAUCAUUUGCGGUUUAUUUUUACCUUUCGACAAGACGAGAAUCAACCGCUUUCCUUUAAGCAUAGAGGUGUAGCCGAAUGAGGAUUUAUUCGAAACUGUUUAACCUCGUGGCUCACUUACGACUUGUAGAGCACAGAAAUCCAAUUAGGGAAGAAAGAGUCUUUUAUUUCAAGGAUGAGAUGCAAACGUAUGUAGAACGGACUAUUCGCCUAAUAGAAAAUUCAUAGACAAACGUAAUUAACAUCUAAAUAGCUCGUUUUUACAACCUGUACCAUUUUCCUAUUAAAUCGUUACGUGAAUUUUUCCUAUCGAUAUUUUAACGUAAAAAAGUCAACGUGAGUGGAAAAAAGAUUAAAGAUGUACGAAGGAUUAUUUUCUGAUUCAAAGUCGGUUGAUGUAAAUCGAUGGUGUAACCGUAUAUUAUCGAAAUAAUUUAGCGAUAAAUUGUCGAUUGUAACGAUAAUAGGUAUUUUCGUUUUAAUUGAAUUGAUUUCAGUUCGCUUUGAAACGAUCUUCGUUUUUGAACGCACACACAUUUUAACGCAAACGGAUGUCAUAUGCACGUAACACUCCAUCAUGUUCGUAACAAAACAAAAAUCUAUUUCUUAACAAUCCCAGUUGAUGAAAACCAAUUUUUCCUGGCACAAAAAUGUUGAACGACAAACAUCGAAGGGAUUAUAAUUGAGCGCAACCGUGGCUUAAAUAUCGCGUCAAGUUUUUCACGUAGCUAUAAAAUUUAUAUAAAAACCGCGUACAGGUCAAUCUUCUUUAUUUUUUAUUUAUAGUUUUCGUUAUAAUACAUCAGUUUUUUUUUUAUAUUUUCUGUUAUACAUAAUUGUAUUUUCUAAAAAGAUGAUAAGCGUUUCCAUUCAUUUUCGUUCUCCCGUAUUCGCUUUGUGCAGAUAUCUCGACAUAAUAUAGCCGUGUACACUUACGCCCACCGUCCGAUAUAUGCAAUUUCAGUUCGCUACAAUCUACAAUCGUAGUCUCGUAUUUGAUCGGCUGAACCAUAGAGUUUAAGUUCACCAGAUUCUGAAAAUUACCAUUGCUCUUAUUUAAUGGAAUGCUCCGGUAUUCGCAGAGUAUUCAUUUUCCACAAAAUCCAAUCGUGAAUGUCGAAUUUUAAAUUUUAUAUAGCGGUACGGUUAUCUCAUUGUUUGUACAGACUGGCUGAAAAACUUUCACGGAAACACGGAAAGCGAAACAGAAAGGACGGAAUUCUUUUCUGAAAAAUUUCAUUUCUCUUUGUCGACCCUAUAGAGGAA